rnacentral:rRNA from 1 species
CAAGGAGUUCUAACAUCUGUGCGUGUGUUUGGGUGUCAAACCCGUACGCGUAAUGAAAGUGAACGGAGGCGGGAACCUCUCGGGGUGCACCGUCGACCGAUCCUGAUGUCUUCGGAUGGAUUUGAGUAAGAGCAUAGCUGUUGGGACCCGAAAGAUGGUGAACUAUGCCUGAAUAGGGUGAAGCCAGAGGAAACUCUGGUGGAGGCUCGCAGCGGUUCUGACGUGCAAAUCGAUCGUCAAAUUUGGGCAUAGGGGCGAAAGACUAAUCGAACUAUCUAGUAGCUGGUUCCUGCCGAAGUUUCCCUCAGGAUAGCAGUAACGUUUUCAGUUUUAUGAGGUAAAGCGAAUGAUUAGAGGCCUGGGGGUUGAAACAACCUUCACCUAUUCUCAAACUUUAAAUAUGUAAGAAGUCCUUGUUGCUUAGUUGAACGUGGACAUUUGAAUGUAUCGUUACUAGUGGGCCAUUUUUGGUAAGCAGAACUGGCGAUGCGGGAUGAACCGAACGCGGAGUUAAGGUGCCGGAAUGCACGCCCAUCAGACACCACAAAAGGUGUUGGUUCAUCUG